UACGUAGGGCGCAAGCGUUAUCCGGAAUUAUUGGGCGUAAAGAGCUCGUAGGCGGUUUGUCGCGUCUGCCGUGAAAGUCCGGAGCUCAACUCCGGAUCUGCCGUGCCGACUGUCAAACUCGAGGGCUGUAGAGGCAGACGGAAUUCCGGGUGUAGCGGUGGAAUGCGUAGAGAUCCGGAGGAAGACCGGUGGCGAAGGCGGUCUGCUGGGCAGUUUCUGACACUGAUGCGCGACAGCGUGGGGAGCAAACAGG
rnacentral:rRNA from 1 species